CAAUCAGCGAAAAUGCCCUGGCAGUAAAAGCAACCACAGCACCAACCAAUCCUCCUGGACUUUGACAUCAGCCAGGCUGGGAGCUUAUUUAGCGAGUUAUUGGAAAUUAAGCAGCAUUCGGAUUGCUAGGUAAUGAAGGAACGGUUGCUGUCCCAGUGUUUCCUGCGUUUUGUCUGCAUAGAAGCAGAAAACAUGAAGGAUUACAAGAACUUUUCUUCUUCUGUAAGUUACCAGAUGAAGGCCAAUAUUCUGUAUAUCUCUGCUACUUCGGAAUCAGAAACCAGGUGGGACCAUGCAAACAACACACACA